CUUGUACUCCCUCCAUCCGAAAAAACUUGUCACCAAAAUGAACAAAAAGGGGUGUAUCUAGAACUAAAAUACAUCUAGAUACAUCCCCUUUUACUCAUUUUGAUGAUAAGUAUUUCCGGACGGAGGGAGUACUCA
rfam:Triticum aestivum genome assembly, contig: Triticum_aestivum_CS42_TGACv1_scaffold_211015_3AS